rnacentral:misc_RNA from 1 species
GGGAUAGCAGUGGAAAGCCCACAGUGAGGUACGAACGAGGACUUGUAACGUAUAGCCCGACCCUUU